rnacentral:misc_RNA from 1 species
AAGUCGUAACAAGGUUUCCGUAGGUGAACCUGCGGAAGGAUCAUUAACACGUAUCCAACGUUAAACAACCCUGUGAACUUUCAACGCUCUUGUAACCAGGCGGAACAGCAAUCCCGGUAAAUCAGUGGGCGGAAAGUUUUGAUUCGGGACCUCUGUCCAAAAGUUACAAUCGAGCUAGGCAGUGCAGAAGGAUCCACUGAGUAAGGAUAACGCAUCACGGUUGCCAGAGGUCGAUCACCGGCCGGCAGACAUGUCACAGGGCUUAUGCCCCUUCAUUCACACCUUGCUCUCUCAUGCCCGCCGGAAACGCCGGGCACAAAAACCGAACAACUGUUAACAAUGGAUAUCUUGGUUCUC